rnacentral:ncRNA from 1 species
GGGAAGGAUCUAUUUCGACUAAUUUGAAGGAGCUUGACUGCAAGACUCACCCGUCGAGCAGAGACGAAAGUCGGCCUUAGUGAUCCGACGGUGCCGAGUGGAAGGGCCGUCGCUCAA